GCCUGCUGCCUCCUCCCAGCCUGCUCCCUCCAUGGCUGCUGCGUCCGGGGUGGUGGAUGACAGUGGCAUGCCAGGGUUGGACAAAGUUGACAGCUUGGCAGAGUAUCUGGUGGAGCUGAGAAACCAGACCGCUCUGUACCUGAACAACCAGCAGGUGAGCACCAUUGUUGCUCUGUGGCAGAACCUGCCGGACCACGACAGGCAGAGGGUGGUGUUU